AAAAAAAAGAUAUUUCAUUGAUUCAUUUCUUGAAGGUUUCAAAUGCGAAAAAAUAUUUUUCGUAAAUCAAAUGGAAUUUUAAUUAUUUAAAAAAAAAGAAAAACAUUGCAACGAGUACCUGGCGUAUCUUACCACAUUUCUAGGUAUGAUGGUCUAAUUGAUGAAUUAAACUUGAUUUUGAGCUGUGUCCAGCACCAUUUAACUUCAUUUGUUUAAGUUGAAUUUGAUACAUUUUCUUGCACUAGUCUUCUAACAACUGGACAAAUCAGAGACUUA
rnacentral:misc_RNA from 1 species